CAAGCAGAUGAAUGCUUUUAUGCCGGGCAAUGGAAUUCCGGGCCGCCGGCGGCGAUGCUUUUACCUAUGCCUACACAUCGGAUACUGUGUUUAAGACGCGAGGCAAAGACAGGACACAGAAGAAGAUCAGGAGACAUCCCGUGGGCCAGAGGGAAUGCCAGGCAGUAAAGGAUGACUAGAGGAAAAGAGCGGAUCCCUGAAAUCAAGACUCUACAGAAUGAGACCCUCAGGAAUCCUGGACCUUUGCACACUCUGUCCUGGUCCCCAGCUCUAACCGGGCAAACACCUUCCCACUCCCCAGGUCUAAGAAGAAAAGUUUGGACUCCUCUCCACGUAUCACACAGAGCAGAAGGUUCCGGAAGAAUAAUCUUGGGGCAUCUCGACUCACUAGAUGGCGAUGGAAAGAGCUGGAUUUCCUCUGGAGGUUGGAGGCCACACCCCCAGCUUACUGGGUAACCAUGGCAACCCAUUCCCCUCUGAAGACUGGGGGUACAGAAGGCACACCUUUAGUGAGAGUGGAUCUCUCUACAUGCUUAGGAUCCCAGAAAAAAAAUAUACACAGGUGCCCAACAUAGGGUGUGAGACUUCUCUCUGCCCAGAGUAUCCCUGUGAAUGAGAUAUGGAUGAAGGAGCUGUGAAGACCAGGGCAGAGGGUUCAGUGAAUAGAGGCAUUCAGCAUCAAACCUGGUGACCUGGGUUUGACC